rnacentral:rRNA from 1 species
GACGAACGCUGGCGGCGUGCCUAAUACAUGCAAGUUGAGCGAUGAGGCUUGGUGCUUGCACCAAUUUGAAGAGCAGCGAACGGGUGAGUAACGCGUGGGGAAUCUGCCUUUGAGCGGGGGACAACAUUUGGAAACGAAUGCUAAUACCGCAUAACAACUUUAAACAUAAGUUUUAAGUUUGAAAGAUGCAAUUGCAUCACUCAAAGAUGAUCCCGCGUUGUAUUAGCUAGUUGGUGAGGUAAAGGCUCACCAAGGCGAUGAUACAUAGCCGACCUGAGAGGGUGAUCGGCCACAUUGGGACUGAGACACGGCCCAAACUCCUACGGGAGGCAGCAGUAGGGAAUCUUCGGCAAUGGACGAAAGUCUGACCGAGCAACGCCGAGUGAGUGAAGAAGGUUUUCGGAUCGUAAAACUCUGUUGGUAGAGAAGAACGUUGGUGAGAGUGGAAAGCUCAUCAAGUGACGGUAACUACCCAGAAAGGGACGGCUAACUACGUG